AGAGCGAACGCUGGCGGCAGGCCUAACACAUGCAAGUCGAACGAACCCUUCGGGGUUAGUGGCAGACGGGUGAGUAACACGUGGGAACGUGCCUUUUGGUUCGGAACAACUCAGGGAAACUUGAGCUAAUACCGGAUGUGCCCUUCGGGGGAAAGAUUUAUCGCCAUUAGAGCGGCCCGCGUCUGAUUAGCUAGUUGGUGAGGUAAAGGCUCACCAAGGCUUCGAUCAGUAGCUGGUCUGAGAGGAUGAUCAGCCACACUGGGACUGAGACACGGCCCAGACUCCUACGGGAGGCAGCAGUGGGGAAUCUUGCGCAAUGGGACGAAAGCCUGACGCAGCCAUGCCGCGUGAAUGAUGAAGGUCUUAGGAUUGUAAAAUUCUUUCACCGGGAUGACAAUGACAGUACCGGAAGAAGAACGCCCCGCUAACCUUCGACGCCAGCCAGCCGC
rnacentral:rRNA from 1 species